rnacentral:rRNA from 1 species
AGAACAUUGAGAGGAACUUUCCCUAGUACGAGAGGACCGAGAAGGACGCACCUCUGGCGUACUAGUCAUCGUACCCACGGUAAACACUGGGUAGCCUAGUAGAAAAGAUUGAAAAAUUAUCACAAGCCUCCCUUAUCUAUUUUCU